UACAGAGGGUGCGAGCGUUGUCCGGAAUCACUGGGCGUAAAGGGCGCGUAGGUGGCCCGACAAGUCUGUGGUGAAAGCUCGACGCUCAACGUCGAGUCGGCCAUAGAUACUGUUGGGCUGGAGCACUGUAGAGGCUCAUGGAAUUCCGGGUGUAGCGGUGGAAUGCGUAGAGAUCCGGAAGAACACCGGUGGCGAAGGCGGUGAGCUGGGCAGUAGCUGACACUGAGGCGCGACAGCGUGGGGAGCAAACGGG
rnacentral:rRNA from 1 species